ensembl:lncRNA
CUGCUUAAACUUGCUGCAACUGUUUUCCGAUACUUCAAAUGAACCACAAACAUAUCCUGUGCAUACUAUACUAGCGUCAUGGUUGAAUUUUCACAUUUACAAUAGUGCACCUGUACAGCAGGUGACUUUUUCAUAGAUCUAAAUCAAACAGAUUGCAGAAUCUAAAAGCCCUUUACAGUAUCUUUACACUUAUAAAAAUGUUUAACUUUAAAAACUUAAAGUUUAGGAGGAAGAAAAAAUCAGCCAGCGAUAAAGAUGAGCAGUAUCGUCUAGUGAAAGGCAUGCCAACACAUGACACAGAGACCACGGAUGCAGGAGAACAGGAAAGCACAGUCGACUCUGGAAUGCCAUCCUGUUCAGGUGUUGAAGUGAGUGGCGAGACAGGGCUUAAUAUUCUCAGAACAAUUCUGAGUGAACAAUUAAACCCAGCUGCAAUGCCGAAAAACUUUUCUCAAGAAUGGCGCCACAGGUACCUUGAAGAAAUAGAUCAGUUUGUGGAAAACAACUUUCCCAAGCUGCCAGCAGAGGGACCACAAAUAUCUCAGUUAGAGCAAAUAAAGGACUUUCAAAAGAGAACACAGAGCACGAUAUAUGAUGAGGUGCUUCGAUUAACACCUGCACUGAAAGAUGCUGGGCUGCUAGAUCAUCUGAUGGACUGCUACAGCCGUCACCUCUUUACCAACCUGGACCUGCUGCUUAACAGAGAUCUGUCUGUGAAAGAGAUCUUCUGCCUUAUACUGUGGGGAAAACAUUUGUUCUUCAGUCCAGACCCAAAACUGACAUUGUACGAUCCUCUGCUGUUGACAGGAGUGUUUGCAAAAGCAAAACAAAAACUACUGCGAGUACUUAAGAACGAUAUCUCCACAUAUCUACAGAACAUACUGCGCUAUGAUGAGGAACAUGGACAUAAAGAGGAAUCAAUGGAUGAAGAAACUUUCAUCAGAGUGCACUUAGAUGUCAUUCAGGUCCUGAAUAAUGCUAUUUUAGAUGCUCAAAAGGUUGGUCUGACUUUGAUGCACGCCAUACAAAUACUCUGUAGUGAGGAGCUGCAUGCUUUUGUUCAGAAGUAUGUGGAUGCUGAGAAUGAACGUCUAAAUAAACUAAAGUUUACAGAGAAAAACUCUCUGUCUCUGUUUCGGAUAAUCAACACCUGUAUGCAACUCAGAUGCUAUGCUACACAAAUGACUCCAGAUGAUAACAACAGUGAUCAUGACUCAAGCACUAUAUGCAUGCUACAGAAACUGGAAGAUAAAGCUUCAUCCAUUGUACAAAAGAUCCUGAAAUGCUUAGCACAGGCUAAAUUAGAAAGUUUUUUCAAGAAAAGGAAUGGGCAUAUUGAUAUCCUAAUGGAGGCAAUCCAAAAGCAGUGUGCAUCUCUGCCUGAGACUGCCUCAGAGAUCAAAACGGUCAUUGUGAAAAUAGCUUACGACAGUGUUUCCAAAGUGUACCUGGAUUGCCUGAUGAAGACAAACUUCAGAAACCUAGAGCAGCGUUGGGGAAAUGCUGAGGAAAAGAUAAAAGAGGAUGUUCAAUAUUUUCAAGAAACAUUCUCUGAACUGAAUGUCAGUGCUAACCAGCAGAACCAGCUCCUUCAGAGAAUGAGUGAAGUUUUGCUUUGCAGUGAUGUAGAAGCACUGAAGAUUACCUGUUGCAAUUUGUUGAGAGAUUUCCCUCAGGAGAGUAAGCAGUAUGUACCUGGUCUGCUGCGCUGGAAGGGGGUUUUAUCAGAGCGACAGGUGAGGGAAGUGCUGGAUGUGACCCAGGACCUCGGCCUCAAUCUACAGCCUAGACGCGUCACCUGUCAGCCUCUGAAGGGACUUUUUUGUUUUCUUUGAUGUGAAUAACAACAUCAGCCAGAACUGUAAAAUCUUUGUUUAAGUUUAAUUCGAUGACAUGACUGUUUUGUGUUAUUCAUUUAUGAUAUUUAUGUUAUACUGGUACAUAGAUAUUUUCAUCAGAUAUUGUAAUAUUUGCUUUUCCCUGAUGACUUUUUGAUGUUACUUGAAAAUAGGAAAUAAUUUUUAUAUCAGACCACUGGAGAAAAAUGAAUUACCCUUUACUCUUUACCCUUUUAAUCUUUUAUAUGAUAAUUUAAUUUUCACAGAGUUACUCAUUUUGACUUCUACCUUUUACAUUGUUACAAAAGAGGAUUGUAACAACAUGUCCAGCUACUGUAUGAACCUAAAUUAUUGUUAUAUUAUUUAAAUGUUCAGUCAGGACCACUCUGUUUGAUUAAGAUUACUGUAGAGGUCCUGAACAUUAUUUUUGGCGACAGGCUUUACGCUCAAGGGUUCAGAGUCUGAGCUGUCCACAAGCAAACCUCACUGAGGUGUAAACCCCGAAGCCUAAUGCAAUUACCAGAUAUAAAAUUCCAUCCAGAAGUGAUACAAGUCUGUAAAUGAGUCUGGACAAGAUUAAACAAUUAGCUGAUGGAUGAUCUCAUGCGCCUGCAGGGUGAGCGACAGACCAAGGCAAGUGUGACUUUGAAAGAACUUAUAUAGAAUAUAUAUCUUAUUUAAUUGUAGUGGGAGGAGUUGCUGAUGCUGGCUGUCACGCCAUGGUCUUCUUGAACUUAUGCUUGAGCUCCAUUCGUCACUCAGACUACAUUUAUAUUUACAUACAAUUAUAUUUUUUUGUAAUUUCUUACAUUUUCAUUUGAAAAUAGGUACAGUAUCUUUUGUGUGAUGUGAUUUGUGUGAGCUCCAUUUUUGUGCACACAGAUCAUAAUCCCUUGGUGUUCUUGACCCACAUGUCUAACCCUAAUCAACGUUUAAUGUGUUGAAUAUUAUUUUGAUAUCCGGCACAAGAAAAUAAUUGACAAACAUCAUUGCCAAUGCCCUGUGCAGAUUUCAUUCCUUUGACAAUUAAAAAUGUGUUUUUUUUGUUUUUUUUGUGAUUCAUUAUAUUAUCUUAUAACCAGUGGGUGGCUUUGUGAAUCUUUUACCUCAUUUGUGUUGAACUUACUGAAGUAGUGUUUUUUUCCUUUGUUUAUCUGAUUGCACUCCAUGAUUGAGGGGAAUGGGAGAAGUGUUACCUUCUGAGUCUGUUUGAUUCAGCUGUUUUUGUUGUUGUUGUUGUUGUUGUUGUUGUUUUGCUUCACAAGUUUAAUGAUUAAAUUGUUUUUGUGGGGUUUGUAGGGAAGUGGGUGCAAUUUGUUUUGAAGUAGACCUUCCCCCUGUUAAUGUUAGUUGGGGAGUUAACUUAUUUUGCUGGAUUUUUGUUUUCUGCCUUUUUAGUUUAGUUAUAGUUGGUUCAUAAGGAGUGAGUUAUUUUUGUUGUUUUAGCAAUAUCCCAAAAUCUUUUACAAAAUAUAAAAAUUGUGAUUUGCAGUUUUGUUUCAUAAAGAAUUUCAGUAUGUACAAAAUGAUUGCAAAAGCAAAAUUCAUGUGAUCCUCACUAUGGAAAAGAAGCUCCUGCUAAACUGGAGUGAGUCCUGCUUUUCACUGAACUGAUUCUGGCUGCAAGUGAAACUCUUCAGGAUAUUUCUGUGGUCUGAUGGAAAAAGAUUUCCCUUGAGUCUCAGCCGAGCAGAAAUAUGAUGCUGACUGUAACAAGAAUACAGACAGGAGAAAAACACAGUGGUCUUAUUUUUCCCCUGAAUAAUCGCACAGCAGAAACCACCAAACUUAAGAUCAGGGUAAAGCAUCAUCAGACGUGCCAGCUCUAAUUUUGCACUCUUUAGAUCCUGUAGUUUCAGGAGACCUGCUAAUUUGAGAAUUUCUUUCAAACAGUCCAUAUUUGAUCCCUGUGAUAAUGAAAUUUCACUGUGUUUGAUUUAAACUUGUGUUAGUAUGGUAUACAAAAUUUUGGGAUUGGCUUGAAUCUGUGGAACUGUUGGACUAUUAAUGUCAAUGUCAAACUUUUUCAAAAAUAACCUACUGUAUUCUCCAACUGGCCACUGUAAUGUGGAUUAUGAAAAAAUAAACCUCAGAGAAUUUAUGGUAACUGUGUCUUG